rnacentral:pre_miRNA from 1 species
UGGCCCGCUUUGGCACUAGCACAUUUUUGCUUCUGGUUGUAGCUUUUGAGCAAUUAUGUGUAGUGCCAAUAUGGGAGA